UACGGAGGGUGCAAGCGUUAUCCGGAUUUACUGGGUUUAAAGGGUGCGUAGGUGGGUCUGUAAGUCAGUGGUGAAAUCUCCGAGCUUAACUCGGAAACUGCCAUUGAUACUAUAGGUCUUGAAUUAUCUGGAGGUAAGCGGAAUAUGUCAUGUAGCGGUGAAAUGCUUAGAUAUGACAUAGAACACCAAUUGCGAAGGCAGCUUACUACGGAUUGAUUGACACUGAGGCACGAAAAGCGUGGGGGAGCAAACAGG
rnacentral:rRNA from 1 species